rnacentral:rRNA from 1 species
AUACGGGGGGGGCAAGCGUUGUUCGGAUUUACUGGGCGUAAAGGGCGCGUAGGCGGUUCGUUAAGUCGGAUGUGAAAACUCUGGGCUCAACCCAGAGACUGCAUUCGAUACUGGCGGACUUGAGUGCGAGAGGGGAAAGCGGAAUUCCUGGUGUAGCGGUGAAAUGCGUAGAUAUCAGGAGGAACACCGGCGGCGAAGGCGGCUUUCUGGAUCGCAACUGACGCUGAGGCGCGAAAGCUAGGGGAGCAAACAGGAUUAGAUACCCCAGUAGUCC